GCACUGCUGACGAGUCUCACAAUAGGACGAAACGAUUGUCCAGAGC
rnacentral:hammerhead_ribozyme from 1 species